rnacentral:lncRNA from 1 species
CUUUGAUACCCUUCACAACACCUUUAACAGAGACACUCAGAGAACAGUAAACUUGUUCUACACAAAAUAUAUCUUCAAAGAUUGAAGAAGAGUAUCCACUAACUUGGAGAGGACCUAUUUCCUUGAUGAAAAGGAUAUAUUUAUGUAGCAUCUAUUCUGUAGGAUGCCAUAUAUUGUGCACUUAGGAGACGGGAAAUAUUGUGCACUGCUGAUACUGCCAGAGAGAGCUUUAUGGAAUCUACGUGGCUGCAGGUUGUUGGGGCUGGACAGAAGAGCAUGGGAGCACAGAAUGCCAUCAUUCUGAAAAAUUAUUUCAGACUCCUAAGAUCCAGAUGAGCACUUCAACUUGUGUUUCAAAUGAGUACUUUGAAUGAAUACAUCCGAGGUGCAAAGUAGGCAACCUGUAGCUUACAAUAUAUGCAGUCUCAUCACUUCAGUGACACCAAUCAGUCUUCCUGUGCCAGGCAUGAAAAAAGAUAGGUAAGGAGAAUCGAAGAACUACAGGCCAGUCUCACCUUGAUUCCUUGGAAGGUGAUACAGCAAAUAACCCUAGAAGCAAUUUCCAAAAUAAGGACAAGAAGAUUGCAGUCAACAUGGAUCUAAGAAAGAGAAGACAUAUCCAGCCAAUGUGAUCACCUUCUGUGAUCAAAUGACCAACUUGUUGGAUAAGGGGCAAGAGCUAGAUAUGGUAUCUUGAUUUUAGCAAGAUAUGUCUCUCAUAGCAUCUUUACAGGCAAACUAGAUGAGUGGACAUCUAGAUGGAUUGAAAGCUGGCUGAAAUGGGUAGGUGGGUUGAAACUGUCUCAAAGGACUGCAAUCAAUGGUACAAAGUCCUGUUGGAAACAAGAUACCAGUGGUAUACCUCAGGUAUCAAUAUGGAGCCAACACUGUUUAAAAUUCCUGCUAAUGACCUGUAUGAUGGAGCGCAUCCUCAGCAAAUUUGCACAGGAUACAAAUGUGGGAGGAGUGGUUGAUGCAGCAGAGUAGUGCUACCAUUCAAAGGGAAAUCAGCAGGCUGGAGAAGUGGGCUGACAGAAGCAUCAUGAAGCUCAACAAAGGAAAAUACAAAGUCCUAAGGCUGAAGAGAAACAACUCCAUACACCAGUACAUACUGGGGACCAGCUAGAAAACAACAUGGCAGAGGACCUCUGGAUCCUUGUGUGCAACAAGUUGAACAUGAGCCAGUUACAUGUAUUUGUAGUAAAAAAAGGCUAAAGAUAUCUUUGGCUGCAGUGGGAGAAGUGUUGCCAGCAGGUGGAAGGAUGUGAUCCUUUCAUUCUACUCAGUGUUUGAGAGGUCAUACCUGGAGUACUGGUUCCAAGUUUGGACUCUAGUAAAAGAGAGAUGUGGGCACAUUGGAUUAUUUCCAGUGAAGGACCAUUAAGAUAAUUAAGCAUUUGGAGCAUCUUUCAUACGAAGAGAGGCUGAGAAAGCUGGAACAGUUCAACCUGGAAAAAAAAAAAAAAGGCUUAAGGAGAGAGUCAUGAGCAUGUACACAAUGCAUAUAAAUACUUGAUGGGGAGAA